UACGUAGGGCGCAAGCGUUGUCCGGAAUUAUUGGGCGUAAAGAGCUCGUAGGCGGUCUGUCGCGUCCGUUGUGAAAACUCGAGGCUCAACCUCGGGCUUGCAGUGGAUACGGGCAGACUAGAGUGCGGUAGGGGAGACUGGAAUUCCUGGUGUAGCGGUGAAAUGCGCAGAUAUCAGGAGGAACACCGAUGGCGAAGGCAGGUCUCUGGGCCGAUACUGACGCUGAGGAGCGAAAGCGUGGGGAGCGAACAGG
rnacentral:rRNA from 1 species